AUAUAUCCUCAGCAUAUUCAUUUCUGCCUCCACAAAAGCAGCAAUUUCCUUCAAGUACACCAGUUUUUUUCCCCGUGGAAAAGACGUAUUUCUCAUAUAUUCUUUUUUUAAAGUCUUUAUACUUAUGACAAUGUGAUGCUGAUGUGCCAGAAGAUGAAGUAUCUCCUAUCCUCCUUCUCAAUAGGGCCCUCAUACUCCUUCAUACAAAACAAUCAUUGGAUGAAUUGUGCUUGUAUGUAUCUACUAUUUUGUGUCUGUGUUUUGUAUGAAGGUGUACAAGGGCCAUAUUGAGAUUUAAGACUUUAAAGACUUCGAGAUUUAAGUAGUGAAUUUACGCGAAUAAAGUCAUUAAUUUAUGAGAAUAAAGUCAAAAGGUUCCCUGUUAUUUCAGAGGAGACUUGUUAAAAUUAGGGCCAUGAAGCAUUUAAAGUAACUGUGCUUCAGUAAAGGUUUCACAAACAAGGAGAUACUUCAUCCUCUGGCACAUCAGCAUAACAUUGUCAUAAGUAUAAAGACUAUAUGAGAAAUACGUGUUUUCCACGGGGAAAAAAAAACUGGUGUACUAGAAGGAAAUCGCUGCUUUUGUGGAGGCAGAAAUGAAUAUGCUGAGGAUAUAUCCGUUAAUGCAGCCGUAAAUAUCCGUGGAUGACAUUGGGCUUU